UUAAAAAGCUCGUAGUUGGUACUCGGCGGACUGAGGGCGGUUUGCUUGCUAGUAUUACUGCCCUAUAGUCCGUAGUUUUGCCAGAGGUUUCGGGGUGCUCUUAAUCGAGUGUCCCGGGAUGCUGGCAGGUUUACUUUGAAAAAAUUAGAGUGCUCAAAGCAGGCAAUUACGCCUGAAUAUCCGUGCAUGGAAUAAUAGAAUAGGAAGUCGUUUCUAUUUUGUUGGUUUUCGGAAAUCGACUUAAUGAUUAAUAGGGACAGUCGGGGGCAUUUGUAUUCAAACGACAGAGGUGAAACUCUUGGACCGUUUGAAGACAAACUACUGCGAAAGCAUUUGCCAAGAAUGUUUUCAUUAAUCAAGAACGAAAGUUAAAGGUUCGAAGGCGAUUAGAUACCGCCCUAGUUUUAACCAUAAACGAUGCCAGCUAGCGAUCUGCGGACGUUUUUUUUGUAGACUCCGCAGGAAGCUUCCGGGAAACCAAAGCAUUUGGGUUCCAGGGGAAGUAUGGUUGCAAAGCUGAACCUUAAAGGAAUUGAUGGAAGGGCACCACCAGGAGUGGAGCCUGUGGCUUAAUUUGACUCAACACGGGAAAUCUCACCAGGCCCGGACACUGGAAGGAUUGACAGAUUGAUAGCUCUUUCUUGAUUCGGUGGGUGGUGGUGCAU
rnacentral:rRNA from 1 species